GACGAACGCUGGCGGCGUGCUUAACACAUGCAAGUCGAGCGGAAAGGCCCUUUCGGGGUACUCGAGCGGCGAACGGGUGAGUAACACGUGAGUAAUCUGCCCUUGGCUUUGGGAUAACCACCGGAAACGGUGGCUAAUACCGGAUAUGACGGGCUCCGGCAUCGGGGUUCGUGGAAAGUUUUUCGGCCAGGGAUGUGCUCGCGGCCUAUCAGCUUGUUGGUGGGGUAAUGGCCUACCAAGGCUUCGACGGGUAGCCGGCCUGAGAGGGUGACCGGCCACACUGGGACUGAGACACGGCCCAGACUCCUACGGGAGGCAGCAGUGGGGAAUAUUGGACAAUGGGCGGAAGCCUGAUCCAGCAACGCCGCGUGAGGGAUGACGGCCUGG
rnacentral:rRNA from 1 species